rnacentral:rRNA from 1 species
ACUGGGGCGGUCGCCUCCCAAAAGGUAACGGAGGCGCUCAAAGGUUCUCUCAGUACGGUCGGAAAUCGUACGUAGAGUGUAAAGGCAAAAGAGAGCUUGAUUGCAAGACAUACAGGUCGAGCAAGGAUGAAAAUCGGACUUAGUGAUCCGGUGGUUCUGCGUGGAAGGGCCAUCGCUCAACGGAUAAAAGCUACCCUGGGGAUAACAGGCUUAUCUCCCCCAAGAGUCCACAUCGACGGGGAGGUUUGGCACCUCGAUGUCGGCUCAUCACAUCCUGGGGCUGUAGUAGGUCCCAAGGGUUGGGCUGUUCGCCCAUUAAAGUGGUACGCGAGCUGGGUUCAGAACGUCGUGAGACAGUUCGGUCCCUAUCCGUCGCAGGCGUAGGAAAUUUGAGAAGACCUGUCCUUAGUACGAGAGGACCGGGAUGGACG